UACGGAGGGUGCAAGCGUUGUCCGGAUUUAUUGGGUUUAAAGGGUGCGUAGGUGGCUUGUUAAGUCCGGGGUGAAAGGCAGUGGCUUAACCACUCGCAGGGCCCUGGAUACUGGCAGGCUGGAGUGUAGGUGAGGCCGGUGGAACGGGUGGCGUAGCGGUGAAAUGCAUAGAUACCAUCCAGAACACCGAUUGCGCAGGCAGCCGGCUAACCUACUACUGACACUGAGGCACGAAAGCGUGGGGAUCAAACAGG
rnacentral:rRNA from 1 species